rnacentral:rRNA from 1 species
UACAGAGGUCCCGAGCGUUGUUCGGAUUCAUUGGGCGUAAAGGGUGCGUAGGCGGUCUUCUAAGUUUGAUGUGAAAUUCCGGGGCUCAACCCUGGCAUGGCAUUGAAUACUGGAGGACUAGAGUACCGGAGAGGAAACUGGAAUUUACGGUGUAGCAGUGAAAUGCGUAGAGAUCGUAGGGAAGACCAGUGGCGAAGGCGAGUUUCUGGACGGUAACUGACGCUGAGGCACGAAGGCCAGGGGAGCAAACGGG